rnacentral:rRNA from 1 species
UAAAGAGGUGCCAAGCGUUAGGCGGAAUCACUGGGCUUAAAGCGCGUGUAGGCGGGUCGUUAAGUGUCCGAGUGAAAUCCCACGGCUCAACCGUGGAACUGCCGGGCAUACUGGCGAUCUUGAGGCAUUCAGGGGCGAGCGGAACAAAUGGUGGAGCGGUGAAAUGCGUAGAUAUCAUUUGGAACGCCAAUGGUGAAAACAGCUCGCUGGGAAUGAUCUGACGCUGAGACGCGAAAGCCAGGGGAGCGAACGGG